rnacentral:lncRNA from 1 species
GUGGCCAGUGGCUACUGUAUUGAACACUACAGCUGUAGACAAUAUGAAAUAAAUAUAAAGCAGUCUCCACUUUGGAAAAACAGAAGACUCUUACUGCCUCAUAAUAUAGAUGAAAAAUGAAAUACUAAGAUAAGUAAAAUGUUCUUUAAAGAACAAAAACAAAAGAAAACCUAAUGAAAGCUAUAAAAGUCCAUUGGAUAAUAAUGCUACCAGUACUAAGGAAGUACAGCCCCUAAAAGUGACUUGCAGUCACAAAUAUAAAAACGACUAUUCAAGUGAACUCCUAAGGUAAAAAUUUGUUAUUCACCAUGCUCCAAAAUGGUCUGUAACAUUCUUCAGAGAUGGCAUGGUAAAGUACGAUACAAGGGUAAUAUUAACAGUAUGCUGUCACAGGUGCCAUUCUCUUAAAAAAGAAAUCCCAAAAUAAAUAUAAAUGGAAAGCAAAUAAUUAAACACACUAAAUACAGAUUAUUACAAAAAUCCAUAAGGAAUUCUGGUGCAGAAAGAACUUCAUAAUCAAAAUCCCAAAUAUAAAAUUUAUCUAUCAAAAGUGAAAAUGCUGACAUACAGUUUCUUGCAAAAAAAAAAAGUUUAGAAAUUUUUUUAACAUAAAUAAAUAAGAACAUCUUUUUAAACAAAAUCUUAGGCUGUUGAGUCCCGUUUAUUUUCUACACCUCUAAUUCCAAAGCUGAGAAACAAACGGAUACUUCAGAAAAAAAAAAAAAAUAACUCAUGACAAUUUGUCUUUUGGACACAGAAUAUAAAGGAAAAAUAAAAUUUAUGUCUAACUGGCCAGACCUCAAUUGAAUUUUUCAUCCUAGCUGGUUCCUAAAUCCAAAUCAGAUACUUAUCAAUAAAACUGUUUUUCUGCACAGCUACUACUAGCUAGAAACUGCUUCUCCAAAUUUAUACUGACCAUUUCUUCUAAAAUGUUGAAAUUCUAGCUCAUAGUUUUUAAAAAACCAUUCUUAAUGUACUGAUUCCAGAGUACUAAUUCCAAUGGCCAAGAAAAUUCAAAAAGAUUUGGAGUGGUCUCUGAGAUUAGAAUGUGUGACAAUGUGAAGCAUUUCACUACAACGUCCAAGAUUAAAGUGUCAAAGCAGAUGAGGAAAUGAAGCUCCCAAAACAGAUGCCCAUGAGAAAGGAGCCCAGAAAAGCAAAAGGGGCCACAGCCCAGGACCUUACAAUAAAGAAAAGUGGCUCUGGCCCCAUGGUAGCCUUCCUGAAACACUGGGAAAGAAUGAAGUCCUUAGCAAAAUUCUGACCAGGAUCGCAAAUUUAAAUGUAAGCUUGUAAGGAAAACACCUAUGGACUUGGGUUUAAAUUUGUCCAUCUAAGAUAUAAAAUUACAAGUUUGACCAAAUGUGCCAGUUGUCCACUUAUUUUCUCUCAGCUCUGAAUUCAUCCUUUCCUGUCUGCUCUGCAGAAAUGAACUUGGACCCUUUAAACAUUUUUCCUUUGCUAGUUGGCAUGAUGUUAGAUCGACAUUGUAAGAGGAGAUUUUCCUCUUCUUUCCAAGAGUCUUGUGUGCUCCUCUUGGCAGGCUUCUGUACUGCAACACAGCUUCUCCAGUGUCCAGAUCCAGAACCCGUGCAGUUUGCUCCAUUGUCAGGCUCCUGAAGUGCACAGCAGUCAGCAGCACCCAGUAUCUUCCACCAGUACCUCCACAAGGCAGUAUUAUAGCAGAGUGAUUCGGAUGAGACAGAUUUCUACCACAGCAACUUCUCUUCAUUCAGUGAGCCACAGCCAUGCCCCCUCAAACAGGGUCUGGAUCUUAAUCCCAGAGGCCCUGGAUGUUCUAUCUUAACCCCAGGGGUUGAUGCUCCUUUUAUCUGUUAUUCUUAUAUUCCUUAGAGUUCUCUUUACUUUUUACUAGCCAAUCCUCAUUGCUCCAAAACCCUGUUAUAGCUAGCAGUUCUUCGUAUUAAUCUUUCCUUGUUCAAAUUACAUGUGAUUUCUCUAUUCUAAUCAAACACUGACUGAUAGAUCAAAUUUCAGGCAAUUAAUCAAAUUGAGAAAAUUAUAGGGCAUUAUGUCUAAUUUGUUAUUUUAUAUAUUAGCAAACACAUAAGAUCUGAUAAUCAGAAAGUUCAGAGCGCUAAACCAAAGUCUCUAAAGAAUGGAAGGAAUCAGUUCACAGGAUAUAUGCUUGUUAAUGCUACUCCCAUUUGGGGGAAGUAUAAUUUUCUCCAGUAACCAUGAAAAAUAAGAGAUCACUUUGUUUCUUCUGAUGAUUUAUUUUUAUUUUAAAAGGGAAAUGAAAAUCUGAAAAAUAUAAAAGUUUAAGAAGACAAAGUAGAAACAGUCAAUGGCUCCAUUUCUCUGGCAAACUAAUCAACCAAACUGUUCUAUCUACAUUUGACGGGAAACCCAAAAUUUCAGUGAUCCCACACUAAUGUUCACAUUGUUUUUCUGCUAUAUAGGAACACUUUUAACAUGUUCCCUCUGUCUCACUGUUUGUCAUGUACUCUCUGUAGACUACUUUGCCAACAUUAAAAUGAAAUGUUCAGCAUCAAGCUCAUCAUUCCUGUCUCACUUCACUCCGAAAUCUGCUAGCCACAGAGUUAAAAGGACAGGAUUAAGAGUCAUUAGACACAGUAUUAAGGAGAAUUAAAGGGCCUGUUCAAGAGGCAUAACAUCUGCUCCUCAAAUUCCUGCCUAAACAACGAAGAUUCCGAUCAAAGAGAAGAGAGGGAAAGCCAAUCUAACCAGUAAACCGGAGUCAUGAGGAAGUGAAUGCUCUCUCAGGGAGUAACUCUGACACCAGAGGAAGGCUUAGUGACAUUGCACAAUUGUUUCUGUGAAGUCAUUCAUGGGGCAAGUGGGAGUAUAUGAGUAGAAGUGGAAGGGAGUGGGAAGGUGAAGAUUGAGGAUCCUUUUAAGUAGUUUUUGCUCAGCUAGCAAAACAAGCUGGGACAUGCAAGACAGAUAAACACAGCUGUUUGGGGCUGUCACUUGGGGCUCAGGAGCCAAGGUGUCCUGCUGUAGUGAAAAGUGCACCGGAAUUAAAUAGCUAGGCUUCUAAGCCCUACCACAGAGAGUCAACAGACAAACUGCCCAGGGAAAAGUUAUGACCUCAGGCAAAGUGAAUUUCUACAGCUAAGGCAGAUCCUGAAGAAGCUCACAAAUAAAGGCUGCAUACUCACACAUUCCCUGAAGCUUGACAGUGCCAGCCACCAUACUGUGAGGGAGCUGAAGUAAGCCCACAUGAGGAAGAAUUGAGGUCCCAAGCCAACAGCUGCAGCUAAGAUCCAAGCUCUCAACCAGUACCAGUUCAUCCGUUAUGCACACUAAGAUAUGGAAGCUAAAAGAGGACUAAGAGGAUUCUGGGGAUAUUACAAGAUAUUGCAGACUAUCUUGUUUUCCUGGAAAAGGAUUUUACCUCAGUCGACUGAAUUACUUUUUUCACUGUGUCUUGCCACUCUUCGUGCAUGCAUCAAAGACCCUAAUAUGACUUCUGGUGGCCUGGGACUCCUUGGGAAAACAGAAAAGGGGCCACAAAUCCCAUUUUGGGAACAAUCUGUUUUACUCAUGGAACCCCUGGAAUUAGAGAUACAACUGGAGAAACUGUUCUGUGGAGGCUUUGAGUGGAAGGGUGUGCUUCCCUUUAAGGAAUCAAGCUUGAUUUGCAAAGCCAAUAAAACCCCCUUAAGAAAACUGGCCUCCUACCUGUCUACACAGUCUCUGUACAAGAUUACUGACCUGUGGUGAGCAAAAAAAUGUCACUUUCUAACAGACCUAGGAACUCCAUGCUUCUAAAAUCUCAGGAAGAAAAAAGUUUAUCCAACUCACAGUUAUUUGUAGAUACAAACCCAUGGCUGGGCUUGGUUUUAAAAAGUCCGAUCUGAAAUUCCUUGUGGAACAGAGAGUUCCAUCAAAGCCAAUCAAAAAGGCCUAUAUAGAGGUGAUUAUUCUUGCUUCAUUUUAUGCAAAUAAUCAGGCCAAGUAUACAACUAAAGUUUACUUUGCAAACAGCUAAGUCCUAUCAUAAGUUGUUUUUUAACAAAAUGAGGACUAGAGAGACAGAAAUUAUGUUUCAAAAUUUAUCAUACAUCUGUCAUUGGAUUCAAGUCUCAUUAGUCAUUUUUAAAUUCUUGUCUACAUUUUAAACUAACCAUGCUAAUUCUUGUAAUCCAACCACAUCUCCAGCUGUGGCUCAAACAAAACAGAAAGUGAUAGGUAAUGUAAAAAUCUCGAACAAUGUUCUGGCUGGGCAAUUAUCCUAUAAAUCUUGCUAGGUAGCCUAUAACCCCAAGGUUUUCUUUUUUUGGGAAAGUAAGAUCAAGAAAGUUUAAAAAAGCCUAGCCCCAUACACUCACUUAAAACAGCACAACCCAUCUAAAUGGCUUACAGGUAUCAAAUAAACUCUGUUGUCAUGGUUAUGGCCUAUAGUGCCCCCACUAAUAAUGGUAGUCUUAAUACUCAUAUUUUAACCCUAUAUUCUAAACCUCCUUGUAAAGUUUACUUCUUCUCACCUAGAAACCAUCAAGCUUUAAAUGGUGUGGCAAAAGGAGCUGAAAAUUAAACUGACCUUCUACUGCAUACCCUUAAAUUGACCCAGGAGGAGCCCUAGCUGCUAUUCCCAUGCCACGCCCCUCUCCAGCAGGAAGUAGCCAGAGUAAGUCGACGCCCAAUUCCCCGUAACAGCAGUUAGGAAUUUCAUUCCUGAGGGGGGUGUUUGUUAUAGGAGAUAAAAAUAAAUUAUUUGGGUAGACAGAGUAAAGAGAGUCCCCGGCAGAAUACUUUCCUUCUAACAAAAAGCAGCUCAGAAAUGGCUCCCUUUCUAACCUUGUGAAGUUCAAAGAAAUCAUUUCUCUUCUAACAAAGAACAACCUGAAAGGCUGUAAAAACACAG